GCCGGGACUGAAAUGAUUAGAAUUUAACGACCUUUACGAGGAACAAUUGGAGGGCAAGUCUGGUGCCAGCAGCCGCGGUAAUUCCAGCUCCAAUAGCGUAUAUUAAAGUUGUUGCAGUUAAAAAGCUCGUAGUUGGAUUUCUGGCAGUGUGACUCCGGCCGGCAUGACGUCGGGUCCAGAGCGCGCUACCAUCCUUCUGUCAACCUUUUCGGGAUUCAUUUCCCGAUCUGGGGCUCAGAUAUUUUACCUUGAGAAAAUUAGAGUGUUUCAGGCAGGCUUUCGCCGGAAUACAUUAGCAUGGAAUAAUGGAAAAGGACUCCAUCCUCUUCUGUUGGUCUGGGAGGCUGAAGUAAUGAUUAAUAGGGAUAGUUGGGGGCAUUAGUACUUUCCAGUCAGAGGUGAAAUUCUCCAAUUUGGUAAAGACUAACUUAUGCGAAAGCAUUUGCCAAGGAUGUUUUCAUUAAUCAAGAACGAAAGUUAGGGGAUCAAAGACGAUCAGAUACCGUCCUAGUCUUAACCAUAAACUAUGCCGACUCGGGAUCGGAGGCACGCAAAAUCGG
rnacentral:rRNA from 1 species